rnacentral:rRNA from 1 species
AGUGAACGCUGGCGGUAGGCCUAACACAUGCAAGUCGAACGGCAGCACAGUAAGAGCUUGCUCUUACGGGUGGCGAGUGGCGGACGGGUGAGGAAUACAUCGGAAUCUACUUUUUCGUGGGGGAUAACGUAGGGAAACUUACGCUAAUACCGCAUACGACCUACGGGUGAAAGCAGGGGAUCUUCGGACCUUGCGCGAUUGAAUGAGCCGAUGUCGGAUUAGCUAGUUGGCGGGGUAAAGGCCCACCAAGGCGACGAUCCGUAGCUGGUCUGAGAGGAUGAUCAGCCACACUGGAACUGAGACACGGUCCAGACUCCUACGGGAGGAAGCAGUGGGGAAUAUUGGACAAGGGGCGCAAGCCUGAUCCAGCCAUACCGCGUGGGUGAAGAAGGCCUUCGGGUUGUAAAGCCCUUUUGUUGGGAAAGAAAAGCAGCAGGUUAAUACCCCGCUGUUCCGACGGUACCCAAAGAAUAAGCACCGGCUAACUUCGUG